AGGACGAACGCUGGCGGCGUGCUUAACACAUGCAAGUCGAGCGGAAAGGCCCUUCGGGGUACUCGAGCGGCGAACGGGUGAGUAACACGUGAGCAAUCUGCCCUUAGCUUCGGGAUAGCUCCGGGAAACCGGAAUUAAUACCGGAUAUGACUAUGGCUGACAUCAGCCACGGUGGAAAGUUUUUCGGCUAGGGAUGAGCUCGCGGCCUAUCAGCUAGUUGGCGGGUAAUGGCCCACCAAGGCGAUGAUCGGUA
rnacentral:rRNA from 1 species